AUGGUGGAACUAAUUUUAUUGAUGUCCUUGUCUUACACUAUUUCUCUCUUUGUCUAUCACACAAUAUAUAUCUAUCCUUAUCACACACUAUGGGGCUUUUUUGUCUACGGUAGAUAGUAGGUGCUGCUAUCCGCCGAGGAUUGUUGGAAUUAAAUUAUCUAUUACCGACCUCGAUCGAUACAUGUGUCGCCAUCUGUCGAAUUUUUCCAUUUCAUGCUUUUGGUUCCAAUCAGAUUUGAGAGGUGCCUAGAUGGCGGUACUAUCUAUAGACAAGGAGCACAAUAGUAUGCAACAAGGACAGUAAUAUAAAUUAGUUCCACCAUCUCACCGCUACGUGACGUUAGCAUUUCAAUGUCUGUGAAUCGAUCAAAUUUUUAUUUGCAAGAAAAAAACUAAUAACGGAUUAAGUUAUGAACUUUUAUAACUGCAUCUGCUUCAUUAGACUCGAAGCUUAUCACAUCAUGCAUUGCAUUCGGAAUUUGGGCCAACAUUAUUCUUAAACAACUUGGGUUUCAAAAUUAAAUGAUGAGCAGUAAAUUUUUAGAUAAUUUUAUUUAACAAUUGAAAGGAACAACAACACUUUAUUACAAUUAUUUCAUACAACAUGCGAUUAUUCAUAUAACUCAGCCAAGUCAUAUGAAAAUUGAUAAGGAUGUAAUUGCUUAAAUUGUUUCAUUUAUACAUUAUAAAAUGUACAUUUGUAAUUUUCUUUGAUAUGUAUUGAACAGUGCAAGAUGAAACAAAUAUUCCAAACAAUUAUGUAUAACAUUUUCGCUAUUUGUGUAAAUGAAAGCUAAAUUUACAAGUGAUAUGCAAACGUUUAAUCUAUUUCGUGUAAUCUAACAUAAAAUGAUUAACUAAUAUAUUAAUUUAUUUUUACUGGCGAUUUAUAAUAUUACAACUAAGAAUUGCAACUAUUAAUGUCCACUAAUGGAAAAUCUAUGAUAAUGAAAAGUAUGUUGUUCAUCAUCAUAGAAUCAACCAGAGUUAUAAUUAAUUUCGUGUAAUUUUAUUUGAAAACAAAAUUCAAUCGUUACAAUCAACUAUUUCUUGUCGAGCAAACGUUCAGAUUUAAAACUAAGUUUUUUUCUUACUUUUUUAUAUAAAACUUUCAUUUACAAUUCUCUAUUUACAAGUUGUCAGGCACUGUUCAAAAGCCAGCGUAUGUAUUUUAUACUAUUAUUAUCAUCGUAUUUUACAGUGUGAUUUUUACAAAUAUUGUUUAAUAAUAUACAACUCCAAUUUCAACAAAAUGAAUUGGAAUAAAAGAAAUACUGGAAAGUUUAAUUGCAUCAUGUGUCCCUCACGUGCGAAUGAAACGAACGCCUGAAGGUUGUUCGUUGCG